rnacentral:rRNA from 1 species
AAAUACUCUCUAGUGACCGAUAGUGAACCAGUACCGUGAGGGAAAGGUGAAAAGUACCCCGGAAGGGGAGUGAAAGAGAACUUGAAACCGUGUGCUUACAAGUAGUCAGAGCCCGUUAAUGGGUGAUGGCGUGCCUUUUGUAGAAUGAACCGGCGAGUUACGAUCUGAUGCAAGGUUAAGCAGCAAAUGUGGAGCCGCAGCGAAAGCGAGUCUGAAUAGGGCGUUGAGUAUUUGGUCGUAGACCCGAAACCAGGUGAUCUACCCUUGGUCAGGUUGAAGUUCAGGUAACACUGAAUGGAGGACCGAACCGACUUACGUUGAAAAGUGAGCGGAUGAACUGAGGGUAGCGGAGAAAUUCCAAUCGAACUUGGAGAUAGCUGGUUCUCUCCGAAAUAGCUUUAGGGCUAGCCUCAAGUGAUGAUUAUUGGAGGUAGAGCACUGUUUGGACGAGGGGCCCCUCUCGGGUUACCGAAUUCAGACAAACUCCGAAUGCCAAUUAAUUUAACUUGGGAGUCAGAACAUGGGUGAUAAGGUCCGUGUUCGAAAGGGAAACAGCCCAGACCACCAGCUAAGGUCCCAAAAUAUAUGUUAAGUGGAAAAGGAUGUGGCGUUGCCCAGACAACUAGGAUGUUGGCUUAGAAGCAGCCAUCAUUUAAAGAGUGCGUAAUAGCUCACUAGUCGAGUGACACUGCGCCGAAAAUGUACCGGGGCUAAACAUAUUACCGAAGCUGUGGAUUGUCCUUUGGACAAUGGUAGGAGAGCGUUCUAAGGGCGUCGAAGCAUGAUCGCAAGGACAUGUGGAGCGCUUAGAAGUGAGAAUGCCGGUGUGAGUAGCGAAAGACGGGUGAGAAUCCCGUCCACCGAUUGACUAAGGUUUCCAGAGGAAGGCUCGUCCGCUCUGGGUUAGUCGGGUCCUAAGCUGAGGCCGACAGGCGUAGGCGAUGGAUAACAGGUUGAUAUUCCUGUACCACCUAGUAUCGUUUUAAUCGAUGGGGGGACGCAGUAGGAUAGGCGAAGCGUGCUGUUGGAGUGCACGUCCAAGCAGUAAGGCUGAGUGUUAGGCAAAUCCGGCACUCAUAAGGCUGAGCUGUGAUGGGGAGAGGAAAUUGUUUCCUCGAGUCGUUGAUUUCACACUGCCGAGAAAAGCCUCUAGAUAGAUAACAGGUGCCCGUACCGCAAACCGACACAGGUAGUCAAGAUGAGAAUUCUAAGGUGAGCGAGCGAACUCUCGUUAAGGAACUCGGCAAAAUGACCCCGUAACUUCGGGAGAAGGGGUGCUCUUUAGGGUUCACGCCCAGAAGAGCCGCAGUGAAUAGGCCCAAGCGACUGUUUAUCAAAAACACAGGUCUCUGCUAAACCGUAAGGUGAUGUAUAGGGGCUGACGCCUGCCCGGUGCUGGAAGGUUAAGAGGAGUGGUUAGCUUCUGCGAAGCUACGAAUCGAAGCCCCAGUAAACGGCGGCCGUAACUAUAACGGUCCUAAGGUAGCGAAAUUCCUUGUCGGGUAAGUUCCGACCCGCACGAAAGGCGUAACGAUUUGGGCACUGUCUCAACGAGAGACUCGGUGAAAUCAUAGUACCUGUGAAGAUGCAGGUUACCCGCGACAGGACGGAAAGACCCCGUGGAGCUUUACUGUAGCCUGAUAUUGAAAUUCGGCACAGCUUGUACAGGAUAGGUAGGAGCCUUUGAAACGUGAGCGCUAGCUUACGUGGAGGCGUUGGUGGGAUACUACCCUAGCUGUGUUGGCUUUCUAACCCGCACCACUUAUCGUGGUGGGAGACAGUGUCAGGCGGGCAGUUUGACUGGGGCGGUCGCCUCCUAAAAGGUAACGGAGGCGCUCAAAGGUUCCCUCAGAAUGGUUGGAAAUCAUUCAUAGAGUGUAAAGGCAUAAGGGAGCUUGACUGCGAGACCUACAAGUCGAGCAGGGUCGAAAGACGGACUUAGUGAUCCGGUGGUUCCGCAUGGAAGGGCCAUCGCUCAACGGAUAAAAGCUACCCCGGGGAUAACAGGCUUAUCUCCCCCAAGAGUUCACAUCGACGGGGAGGUUUGGCACCUCGAUGUCGGCUCAUCGCAUCCUGGGGCUGUAGUCGGUCCCAAGGGUUGGGCUGUUCGCCCAUUAAAGCGGUACGCGAGCUGGGUUCAGAACGUCGUGAGACAGUUCGGUCCCUAUCCGUCGUGGGCGUAGGAAAUUUGAGAGGAGCUGUCCUUAGUACGAGAGGACCGGGAUGGACAUACCUCUGGUGUACCAGUUGUCGUGCCAACGGCAUAGCUGGGUAGCUAUGUAUGGACGGGAUAAGUGCUGAAAGCAUCUAAGCAUGAAGCCCCCCUCAAGAUGAGAUUUCCCAACUUCGGUUAUAAGAUCCCUCGAAGAUGACGAGGUUAAUAGGUUCGAGGUGGAAGCGUGGUGACACGUGGAGCUGACGAAUACUAAUCGAUCGAAGACUUAAUC